GGAAAAGUCGUAACAAGGUUUCCGUAGGUGAACCUGCGGAAGGAUCAUUAUUGGAUUUUGAAACUUCAGGCUGCUGCUGGCUCUCCUCGGAGGGCAUGUGCACGCUUGUUGUCCAUUAUUUCUCCCACUGUGCACAAAUUGUAGACCUUUCAGUAGGCCUAUGUUGUUUUUCACAAUCUCUGAAUGUAAUAGAAUGGUUUUGAAUCUUGGGAAAUACAAUACAACUUUCAGCAACGGAUCUCUUGGCUCUC
rnacentral:misc_RNA from 1 species